rnacentral:rRNA from 1 species
GGCUAACGCUGGCGGCGUGUCUUAGCCAUGCAAGUCGAGCGGACUUAUGGGGUAACUUAUAAGUCAGCGGCGGACGGCGGAGUAACACGUAGCUAACCUACCCUCUGGACGGGGAUAACCUACCGAAAGGUGGGCUAAUACCCGAUGUAGUCAUCCUGUAUAGGGGUGAUGAAAGGUGGGCUUCUGUUUACAAGCUCAUGCUGGAGGAGGGGGCUGCGGCCUAUCAGGUAGUUGGUAGGGUAAUAGCCUACCAAGCCGAUGACGGGUAGCCGGCCUGAGGGGGUGACCGGCCCGAGGGGCACUGAGAUACGGGUCCCACUCCUACGGGAGGCAGCAGGCUAGAAAUUUGGGCAAUGGGGGAAACCCUGACCCAGUGACGCCGCGUGCAGGAAGGAGCCCUUCGGGGUGUAAACUGCUGUCGUGUAGGGAGAAGGGUACUAAGGUGAACAAUCUUAGUACUUGACGGUACUACAGGAGGAAGCCCAGGCUAACCUCGUG